UGCCAGCCGCCGCGGUAAUACGGAGGGUGCAAGCGUUGUUCGGAAUUAUUGGGCGUAAAGCGCGUGUAGGCGGUUCGUUAAGUCUGAUGUGAAAGCCCGGGGCUCAACCCCGGAAGUGCCAUUGAUACUGAAAGUCUUGAGUACAGUUGAAGUAGGCGGAAUGUGUAAUGUAGCGGUGAAAUGCUUAGAUAUUACACAGAACACCGAUUGCGAAGGCAGCUUACUAAGCUGUUACUGACGCUGAUGCACGAAAGCGUGGGGAGCGAACAGGAUUAGAUA
rnacentral:rRNA from 1 species